CAGUAGGGUGCCAUCAAGAGGUGUAUUUGGAAAUAUCCC
rnacentral:rRNA from 1 species